GAGCCCCUGGCUCAAUGGUAGAGCGUCUGACUCAAUUAUCAGAGAAAGCGGAUUCGAAUUCCAGGUGUUUU
rnacentral:tRNA from 1 species